UAUUAUUAUUUAUAUACUGUGCUUCUCUAGACCAUUCACUUGCAAAAUGUUCCACUCAAAGUGGAACAAACUUAGUAAGACCUCCCCACAUUGAAAUCUCAAAGUCAAACCAUCAACACAACCUUUUUUGAUUGAACUCAGACUUCAUAUUUUUAAUUAAAUAAUAUUAUUAGACGCUGUUAUGGAUUCUGGUGCAAGUAUAUGCCCUAUUUAUGAACUACUGGCUGUGAAGCUUUUUAUUCCUACCCAACCUAAAUAAAUCAUAAAUAACAUUGUACUAUAAGUAAUUUGAUUUGUGUCAAAGAAAAAAAAUAUUUAUUCAAAAGAUGUUUGGGUUUUAACAACAUCUACCAAUACCUGGUAAUCCUUGUGAAUUUAUUUCUAUGGAUCCCAUCAUUGAAUUACCACCCUCAGAAGGAAAUUCUACUAUUCUACUAUUUUAGAAUAGCAGACUGAAAAUAAUGUCCCAUUUAAAGCCUUGCCAUCCAAUUCUGAUGCUGCUACCACUGCCAAAGAUUUGUGUCCAACUACUGUAUUUUAGAAUUCAUGGUAUUCCCAAAGAAAUCAAGACAUUAGAGGUAUCAAAUUGAACUAAAAAUUUUAGUAAGCUCUUUAUAAUUCCCUCCUAAUUGAUCAUAACAUUCUCUCUGUUUUCCAUCCACCGUCUAAUGGGCACACAGAAAGAAUCUUGAAAGUAUUUCAAAUUCUAUUGUUGUUAUUUCCAAGAUAAUUGUAAUAGUCUAUUACCCUUGACUGAGUUUUCUUAUAAUAAUUUAAUUUAUUCAUGACUCAAAGUAAUUUUUUUUCUCAAUUUGGAAGUAGCACCCCGAAUUUUUUAAAACAUACAUAACAAAGUACAUGGGUCCAGUCCUUUUUCAAACAAACCAGGAUAAUUUAUCCUUAUGUAAGAAAAGUUUAAAACAUAGCCAAAAACAGUAUAGAACUAAUUUACAUUGAAAACCCAGUUCCAAAUAUAAAGUGGGAGAAGCUACAAGGAACACACAAUUUUCUUGUCCCUCUAAAACAGGUUGUUGUGCCGGUAGUUACCAUCACCUGGACCUUCAGACAGACUAUUUAUGUAGGUUGCAGACUUUUCUUAUGUUUUAGUCACCCUGUACCCAUUGUAGGUGCAAGAUGCGUGUAAUGUAACUGUUUAGUGUUAAAUGUUAGUGUGCUCUCCUGUAUUACUAAUGCUUGCAAUCAACUAGGUGGAUUGGGCUGUGGAGCCUGUACAGUGCCACUUGUUGGUUGCAAGGAUCUAGCAACCGC